CGAGCUAACAACAAAGCCUAUUCAAUAUAAAGAUUCAAUCUUUAUGCCCUAUUUCAUAUAAAGAUCGAAUCUUUCAACAAGUACAAGUGAGAUUCAGGUGUUUUGAGACUUGUUAUUGAUUUUACUAUCCACAAACACAUCAUUUGCUUUAUAAUUCUUUUUUUUAGUUUUGAAUGAUAUAGGGGUCCUAUUAUGUUUGUGAGUCUAAUUCCCUCAAAUCAGUUGUGUGUGUGUGUUUUAAUUUAACAAUUCGAGUGCAUUGCAUUGAACUUACAAAUUGAGGUUUGUGUGGAUCUUAAUAGAGGUUAAUGAAAGAUCCUCUAGUUCUCGAGCUAACAAAAAAGCCUAUCAAUAUAAAGAUUCAAUCUUUAUGCCCUAUUUCAUAUAAAGAUCGAAUCUUUCAACAAGUAGAAGUGAGAUUCGAGUGUUUUGAGACUUGUUAUUGAUUUUACUAUCCACAAACACAUCAUUUGCUUUAUAAUUUUUUUU